rnacentral:lncRNA from 1 species
GGUCCUAAUGGCUUCUAAGAAGGAAAGUACCUGGUUGUGUCUUAUAGCCUUCUAGCCUGCCAAGACUGAGAAGAGUAGUAGCCUUUUUGGAAAUAUGUAUAUUCUGGUAGUGUCUCACUUUAGAAUAAUUGUGGUGGGAAUAAUCAUCAUUUCUCAUACUCUCUGGUCUAUAAUAGGAAUCUGUCCUAAGCAUCAUGACACUUAGAAGACAGCCAGAGAACUGAAUUACCAAAGGAGAAGGACCCCUGCUUUUCUCUCAGAACCAAAGGAUGUGGCAGAGUUGGAUAUCUUGAAAACCAGCUUCUGACAGUGCAUGGUGCCCAAGUCAGCUUGAAGAGGAUGAGAGACCCUGGAUAGCAUAGCCACAUCAGACCAUUCUCCUCAAUAGGAACUACUGACUGACAACAAUAGACAGAGCAGUCUGGAUUCUUAUGCUUCCAUGCUCUCUAGCAAGUUACCAAAUUUCAAGUUCUCAGAAGGCAUAAAAAGUGGGGUACCUAAUAUGGAACAGAGACUGAAGAGGGACGAGAUAAAGUAUGAGCGUUUGCGUGCUAAACCAAAAUCAGUCAAAAAUGUAGCUCCUACUUUUUACUAUACUCAUUUUGUACAUUUGCCAUACCUUGGGAUCUGGAGGAAGAAGUCAACUGAGUACUGUUGUAAAGCCUUGUCUCCUCGAGAUCUGUCUGACCUCAGCCAGGCAAAUGGAAUGCUCUGCUUGAGGCAUAGUGGGAUGACAGUCAGUCGGUGAAACCCUGGGUGUUGCCUCACUCUGCUCUGUGGUCAUUCUGAGGGAAGGCAGGAACCCAUUGUCUUCAUCAGUGUUAGCUCUGUGUCGUGGGUGUGAAGUUAGAGAAGCCAAGCAGGAGUGCUUUCCUUCUUCAUCUCAGAGUGAGAAAUUACUCAUCACUGCCCAGGGGACACCAGCUUGGGUUCUUUCUUCCUUUCAUGAAGAAGCCACUCAUUUUUUUUGCUAAUAAGUCACAUGAC